rnacentral:rRNA from 1 species
UACGUAGGCAGCGAGCGUUGUUCGGAGUUACUGGGCGUAAAGGGUGUGUAGGCGGUCCUCUAGGUUUGGUGUGAAAUCUCCCGGCUCAACCGGGAGGGUGCGCCGAAAACUGGGGGACUAGAGUGCGGGAUGGGAGAGUGGAAUUCCUGGUGUAGCGGUGAAAUGCGUAGAUAUCAGGAGGAACACCGGUGGUGUAGACGGCUCUCUGGACCGUAACUGACGCUGAGACACGAAAGCGUGGGUAGCAAACAGG